rnacentral:misc_RNA from 1 species
AACGCACAUUGCGCCCUGUGGUAUUCCACAGGGCAUGCCUGUUUGAGCGUCAUUUCUCUCUCAAGCCCCUGGCUUGGUGUUGAGUUUGCUCGGCUUACUUGAAAAGUAUGUGUGCAUUUGUUUUAGGUACAACCAUGUCAAAUGCAUUACCCCCCAAGUUUGACCUCAAAUCAGGUAGGACUACCCGCUGAACUUAA